CGGCCAUGGAGAUGGCGACCGGGCGGAGGGCGGGGCCGGGUGCGCCGCCAUCAUCGCGGAUCGGGUCUGGGCGGGGGUCUCUUCCCUGUGGUGACAGUGGCAAGACCCGAGGGAAUGGCAUGGAGACGCGCCAGGGAAGGGUCAGGUGGGGUGUUAGGAAAAGGUUCUCCAGAGUCUGGCACAGCUGCCCAGAGAGCCGUGGUGCCCCAUCCCUGCAGGUGCUCAAGGCCGGGUGGGCUGGGGCCCUGGGCAGCUGAGCUGGUGGGGGGCAGCCCUGCCCGUGGAUUGGGGUGGGACUGCGUGGGCUUUAAGGUCUCUCCAACCCGAGCCCGUCUGUGGUUCUGCGAUUGUAUGAACUUCCCCCUUGUAUUUAAAGAUCAAAAACAACAGAAGCCAGCUGAGUAAAGCUGCCCCGGGUGGUACCCAAACACUGCUGGAUGCAGAAGCAGAUGUAAGCGUGGAAGAAAACCUUGAAGGAACAGAUAACCGAGGAUACCAAUUAGCUCUCCGGGAGGCUUUGCAUUUGUUCCCUGGGAAAGCUGUCGCUAUCUCAGGUGUAGCAGUGGUUUGCAGCGCAGAGCUAGUUUUAGUUGACGGCGUGGGUACUAACAGGUGUAGCAAGAGCAGCUACAGGCUUGCUGAGGGGCCGGGGAAGGGCCUGGGCGCUGGGCCCCAAUAGCCAUGGCCGUAGCGGUAGGAGCUCCUCGCUGGCAGCUGGCUCCGGUAUGCCUCCAGUGCUCCGACGGCAACGUGGCCAUGCGGUGAGAAGCACUCCUGCUCACUGUGCACCAUUAUGUUGAUGGUGUCGUGUCAUCUGUUCCCCGCAGGAGCCUAGGGCUGCAGUGCAGGAGGAUGGGAUAAACGAGGAAUUCACUCUUUCCACUUCUGUAGUCUUUUGAGUCGCGUUCCGAAUCGUAUCGAGCAGCUAUCUUUUGCAAAACCGCCUACUCUUUUAAAAUGAAAUCUAAACAGAGCUUGAAAAUAAAAGGAGAAUGUCACGUGGAGUGGUGUGAAAACCGUGUAACAAUCAAGACUGUUACCUCUUACCUAUGAAGAAGGGGAAACUAGUACAUCAUCUCAAGGAAUGAAUGGUUAUGAUUCUAUAACACUGGAAGUGACUAAUCCCAUGUUGUAAAUGGAAUAAAGGGAAAUGGAAUAUAUUUUGAGAACAAACAGUAAUCAUUGACACAGUAAUUUGCAUCCCUAGAUAUUAUAAUAAUGACUAAGUAUCACUUCCCCUUGUUUGCAUAAGGAAGAGUAGGCAGAGAAAUCCAGUGAUUCGGCUAUCGCUCAAGCGAGGCACUAGAAAAGACAGCAUAGGUCGCUUUACUUCAUGUUGUUUUCCUCUUUUUUACUAUGUCUUUGAAAUACAGCAUCACAAAAGCCAUGAUGCUUUUUAGCCCAAAAGUCUCUUUCGGUGUUUCACCAGUUU
ensembl:lncRNA